ensembl:lncRNA
UGCGGCCUACGUGCUCAUCCUGGAACACUCUUUUGUAAAAGUCCUUAAACAAAUGUCAAUGAUUAACUUUAUGAAUUAUUCUCUGAGCACAGCUGCAGAAGGCUUUGUGCCUUCUCAUGCUCCUCUCAAGAACAAUAAGCACCUUAAUAUUCCUUUUCAGUCAACUCAGCCGAGGAGAGGAAAAAACAAGUCAGAAUUGCAAGGCCUAACUCCUUCAUCCCGGGUCCAUGCCUGCGGAAUGAGGAGAGGGGGCUGGGGCCAUGCCUCCAUUUUGUCAGUAAUGCCUAACGUGGCUCCCGACAAGUCCCAUAACCACCAACCAAAUGAAAAAGCACAAGAAAAUAAAAUGAUCAAGUCCCAUCCGGUGAAGUAGGACAAUCCUUGUGUUUGGUGUGGAACUUGGCAAGUUACAUAAGGAUGUGAAAGUGGAAGGAAGUUAAUUGGUUCCAGCAAAACCAUGUGUUGGACAUGCUGGUACCUGGGACUUAUUUGUGGGUACAGAGUUGGGCACUGUGCCCAGCACUUUCUAGGUAUCAUCUCGGUCCUCUAGGGUUGGUACCAUUAAUUAGCUCCAUCUUUCCACUGAUGAAACUGAGGCUCAGGGUGAGGCAAUUUGCUGAGGGCUUCUGCCGAGGCAGAAUUCAGAUUUGUUCUCCAUCAUAGGGACACACGUUUUCCUGGGUUUGUAAAUUCUGCCCUUGUCCUGGAACGACUGACAGGCUCAGAGGAAUAAGGCAGAAAGCAGUACAUCUCAUCCGGGCUGGGGGGAAAGAAUGUAAGCAUUGUCUUCCUUCAUCCCACCUAAUUUCAUCUUUAAAAGUCCAUUGUGAGGGUGUCCCUGUACAGUUCAGAGAGCAACCACGUCACUCAGGUGAUGUGUCCAGCUCAAAGGAUUUCUCAGAAGCUCUCAUUUGCCCAGAGUUAAGCAGGAGGAGAGUUUCUGAGGUUGAAAAGAUGGCUAGAAUUUGUGACCAUUUGCUGUGAAUUUGUCAUGGUGCAGAGCCAAAAUUCAGCAAUGGGUUCCAAGGAGAUCACGGAGAGGAGAUCAUUGGUUGAUUGCAGAGCUAUAUCUCAGCAAUAGGAGGUUCCUCAUCCCCUCCUUUUCCUUGGAAUGUCCAUGCUGCUUACUAUUCCCAUGCUGGCAGCUGUGACAAGGAUGUGACCUUAAGAGAGUAAGAUGCUGUCAAGACCAACUGAACUGAGUGAGUACGUGACUGAACCCAGUUAAAGCCUCCAAUAUAACUUAAGAUUCUGGCCCAUGGGGGUGGAGAUCCACUCAUCUUGGGAUCUCACAUCCAUACAUGACCACAGGAAAAACCAUAGCCUUGACUAGAUGGACCUUUGUUGGCAAAGUAAUGUCUCUGCUUUUCAAUAUGCUAUCUAGAUUGGUCAUAACUUUCCUUCCAAG